rnacentral:rRNA from 1 species
UACGUAGGGUCCGAGCGUUGUCCGGAAUUACUGGGCGUAAAGAGCUCGUAGGUGGUUUGUCGCGUUGUUCGUGAAAACUCACAGCUCAACUGUGGGCGUGCGGGCGAUACGGGCAGACUAGAGUACUGCAGGGGAGACUGGAAUUCCUGGUGUAGCGGUGGAAUGCGCAGAUAUCAGGAGGAACACCGGUGGCGAAGGCGGGUCUCUGGGACGGUACUGACGCUGAGACGCGAAAGCGUGGGGAGCGAACAGG